rnacentral:rRNA from 1 species
UACAGAGGGUGCAAGCGUUGUUCGGAAUUAUUGGGCGUAAAGGGAGUGUAGGCGGCUAUUUAAGUCUUCUGUGAAAUCUACGGGCUCAGCCUGUAACGUGCAGAGGAAACUGGAUGGCUUGAGUGUCGGAGAGGAUAGUGGAAUUCCCGGUGUAGAGGUGAAAUUCGUAGAGAUCGGGAGGAACACCAGUGGCGAAGGCGACUAUCUGGCUGGCAACUGACGCUGAGACUCGAAAGCAUGGGGAGCAAACAGG